GACGAACGCGGGCGGCGUGCUUAACAAAUGCAAGUCAAACGGAAGGGCCCUGCUUUUGUGGGGUGCUCGAGUGGCAAACGGGUGAGUAACACGUGAGUAACCUGCCCUUGACUUUGGGAUAACUUCAGGAAACUGGGGCUAAUACCGGAUAGGAGCUCCUGCUGCAUGGUGGGGGUUGGAAAGUUUCGGCGGUUGGGGAUGGACUCGCGGCUUAUCAGCUUGUUGGUGGGGUAGUGGCUUACCAAGGCUUUGACGGGUAGCCGGCCUGAGAGGGUGACCGGCCACAUUGGGACUGAGAUACGGCCCAGACUCCUACGGGAGGAAGCGGUGGGGAAUAUUGCACAAUGGGCGGAAGCCUGAUGCAGCAACGCCGCGUGCGGGAUGACGGCCUUCGGGUUGUAAACCGCUUUCGCCUGUGACGAAGCGUGAGUGACGGUAAUGGGUAAAGAAGCACCGGCUAACUACGUG
rnacentral:rRNA from 1 species